CCGUUUGCUGACGUCGCCCAAUCACACUGCUCCGUAGGAGGGACGUAAAAUGUGCCUCCGUCCUUCUGACUGUCAGUCAGCUCAAAUUAUUUGUUGUCAUCAAGAUGGAGUUUUUAUUGGGGAAUCCAUAUAGCACUCCAGUGGGGCAAUGCAUAGAAAAGGCCACGGACGGCUCUCUACAGAGCGAAGACUGGACUCUGAAUAUGGAGAUCUGUGACAUCAUCAAUGAGACUGAGGAGGGCCCCAAGGAUGCCAUCAGGGCUGUGAAGAAACGACUAAACGGGAAUAAAAACUACCGGGAAGUGAUGCUGGCGCUGACGGUCCUGGAGACCUGCGUGAAGAACUGUGGUCACCGCUUCCACGUCCUGGUCGCCACCCGCGACUUCAUCGACGGUGUCCUCGUCAAGAUAAUCUCUCCCAAGAGCAACCCUCCCACCAUCGUGCAGGACAAGGUGCUCGCUCUGAUACAGGCCUGGGCAGAUGCCUUCCGGAGCAGCCCAGACCUGACCGGCGUGGUCCACAUCUACGAAGAGCUGAAGAGGAAGGGCAUCGAGUUCCCCAUGGCCGACCUGGACGCACUGUCCCCUAUUCACACUCCUCAGAGGGGAGUGCCUGAAGUGGACCCCGCAACCCACAAGUACAAGGCCGGAACUGCUCAGCACACGGGCUCCGCCCCCCCUGCCUCCACUGUGGUGGCCCCUGCCUAUAACACACCACAGGUCCCCAGCCUGCAAAUGUCAGGCUCCAUCAACGCCAACUCUGAACAGAUCGCCCGACUGCGGAGCGAACUAGACAUUGUCCGUGGGAACGCCAAGGUGAUGUCAGAGAUGCUAACUGAGAUGGUGCCGGGACAGGAGGACCCAUCAGAUCUCGAGCUUCUCCAGGAGCUGAAUCGGACCUGCCGGGCCAUGCAGCAGAGGAUAGUGGAGCUCAUCUCACGCGUCUCCAAUGAAGAGGUGACCGAGGAGCUCCUGCAUGUCAACGACGACCUCAACAACAUAUUCCUGCGAUAUGAGAGAUAUGAGCGAUACAGGUCCGGCAGAACCGCACGGAGCUCCAACAAUGGGGUGCUCAGCGAGGCCACAGAAGAUAACCUGAUCGACUUGGGUCCUGGGUCCCCCGCGGUGGUGAGCCCCAUGGUCAGUGUGGCCCCAACCCCUGGUCUGCCCUCCGCGGCCCCCGCCGCCGCUGCCACCACCGCCACGCCGGACACGCUGUCUACCCAGCUGGCCGGACUCGACGUCAGCAACAACAGCGUGAGCGGCACCCUGAGCUCGCUGCCCAGGUGCCACCCCAAGGACGACUUCGACAUGUUUGCCCAGACAAGGGGCAGCUCUCUGGCAGACCAGCGCAAAAACGUGAAGUAUGAAGACCCACAGGCGCUGGGUGGCUUGGCCUCCGCCCUAGACGUUAGGCAACAGAAUACUGGAGGGCUGAGUGUAAAAGGUGAUAACGCAGACAUGGAGCCAAUAGACGGCUGGCUUAUCUCCCAAGGAAUGGUGAGCACCUCACCAGCGUCUCUGACCUUCGCCCCCCACCCCCACUCCACCAAGCACUCACAAAUACCCCCCCCCCUUCCCAUUUGCCCUUUCCAGCUCAGUACCCCCAGUACCCCUGACUGUGGUCCCAUAUUGCUAAAACCACCCCACCAUGACAGUAAAAGGGAAAUCUUUCAGGCUCUAACUGAAAUACGCGUGCCCUCCUACCUCAGGCUCCGUGGAGGCAGUCGUGUGGCUCGGUGUGUUAGGACGCCGAGCCUGUGAUCAGAUGGUCGUUGGCUCAAGUCCCAGAACCCAGCACUUUCACCGUUAGGCCCUUGAGCAAUGCCUUUAACCCUCAGCUUCUCCAGGCCCUGGCUGACCUCACUUUCUGGGAUGUACAAGCGCCUGCUAUAUAAAUAAAAUGUAAUACAUUUAUGUAUUCCAGUGGUUCUUUUGUAUUCUUCCUCCCAUUAGCAGGGGUUUAAUAGUAAAUCUGUAGUAAAUCGUCUUUAGGACAGCAGGACUUCAAAGCGGUGACAAUAGUAAUUGCGUACACGAGCACACUAUCUAGAUGGUCAGCCCUUGCCUGUAUAUGAAGUGGUCCAUUCUGCUUUCACCCCCGCCCCCCUGUGGUCGAGUCUUGUGGUCGGCGUGCUCUCCAGCUGCGGCCAAACAUCCCCUCAUCCUUCGCUCCCUUUUACUGUUGGUUUCCUCUUGCUUUUUCUCCCCCCCCCCCCUCUUCACGUCGCCCGCCCUCCUUUGGCUCGGCCGCCGUCAUGGUGAUGGUGUUUCCAUAACGGGGGAAAACGAGAUCUGCCUAAUGGUCUGACCCAGACGGUCGGGGACUCCUGUCACACAGCAUCCGCUACCCGCGGGGUCUCGGAUGUGAGAGUCGUGUUGCCAGGCAACUGCAGCCGCUCUCCCGCCUGCGGGAUUAUUUGUUUCCCCUCUGAUGUGCCAAACUAGGAUUAGCCUAAACGGCUGUGACACAGGAGCCUCGCUGUCACCCGCUCUUUGCACUGAUCCCUCCUGCACGGCUAACAGGCUAACAGCGCGGGCGCGGAAAGGGGGGGGGGGGUCCAAUCUGAAUGUAUAAUGCUGCAAAUAUUACAGCCUUAUUCUAACGUACUGAUAAAUCCCCUGUUUUAACACACUGACCGUUUAUUUCACAAAGACUUGUUUUGUAAGUGUGAUUUGCUGUCAUGAUUGAGUCACUAGUUUCCACAGUGUUUUUUUUUUUUUUCAAUUUUUUUUUAGUGAAUAGAAAGAUACAAAACAUUAUGAUGAACUAAAAGAUUUUUAAAUUUUGAAAUGCCAAACAGGGAGAAAAAAAAAAAAAAAAGGUCCAAAAUCCCCUAGAAUCAUGAGGUUUGACACACCCUUAAAUAAACAGCCUUUAGGUGGGACAAGACAUGAUUGGAUGGUCCAGCCUGCCUGGAGUGGCAUUCUGGGAGUUUGACUUGUCAUAGCACACAGUUGAUGUUAAGCUGUAACAACACUAUGUGGUUAUAUGAGGUAUUAUGGAAGGAGACAGUAACUCUGCUCCUGGCUUCAGGGCCAUACAACACAAUUAGAAUUUUAUAACCUACCGUGAUAAGGCCGUCUUAUGUACCGACUGUUGAUUUGCCCUGGCUGACCCCGAUUUAUGGUUUGUAACUUUUUAUGGCGUUGGUUUAUAUUUGGCCUUUAUAUUUCUUUUCCUCCUUCCGUCUUUUAUUAUCUGCUCAUGAAUUUUUGUUUUCACUCUGGCUUCACAUUGAGGGAAAAAAUUAACCAGGCGGAGAGUUUGAUAGUGUUUUUCUCAGGCUGGUCACGUGCACGUGCGUGUGUGUGUGUGUGUGCACCACGAGCAAGUAAGUAUGUCCCCUGCACACCCGGGCAGGACCAAACCAUGGAAUUAACCCUUCUGACUCUUUGACGUCUCGUCACUUCCUCCUAAAUGCGACGCUUCAUUCACAUCCUGACCCAAGGGCGUCCUGCGCCACCCGUGCAUGCCGCACUGUGCGCCCCCUCCCUUUCCAAGCAUGCAUGUGCAUGCGUGUGUGCUCAUACUGUGUGGGUUUUAUCACUUCAUUUUGGAUUUGUGAUUUUGGUUCCCGUUUUUGCCUCCAUUUAAUGUGAUUUUGCUUUUUGUUCUUGGAUGUAUUUUGGCCCUCCGGGGCCUCCGUUCCUCCCGGUCUCGGCCUCUCUAGAUCCCCGUUGCACAGUCCUCUGUCAUGGAUGACAUUGAGGAGUGGCUCUGUACAGACGUGAAGGGUGAUGAUGCUGAAGAAGGUGUGACAAGUGAAGAGUUUGACAAGUUCUUAGAAGAGCGAGCCAAGGCUGCGGAAACAAGCUUACC